CAUUAUUGUUCAUAUUACUAAAGUUCAUUAAAUUUCUGUUAUUCUAUUUCUUAUGGUUACACUAUAUCCAGAUCUGUCCUGAUGUCUUUCAGAUUUAUCAGCUAAUUUUAAUUUCUGCACUCAAACAUUUUGUGCCAAGGCUCUGUAAAUGCUGAAUAAGAAUGGAGAACAUCAUAACACUGGCUGUAAAAAUCAAACAUUUCUCACCCAGCAGCAGAAGAAAUGGCUAUAUUAUUUAUAUCAGAACAAUAACUGAAGACAUUAUCAGUUGUUUUAUAUUAUACAUGAAGGGGUUUAAGAACAGAGA